ACCUGCGGAGGGAUCAUUGAAUUAUUAAAACCACAAUGUGAACCUCAACGUUCCGUGCCUUGGCUUGCCAGUGGGACAUUCGGCCAAAACCCGUUUGUACUCACAGCUGAGUGGGCAUUGCGACCUGCUCAGUGGCGCCUUGGCAUGACUUUACACCAGUGCUAACCACUGUUAAAACCAAACUCUGAAGUAUUGGUUGCUGGUAACUGGCAAUCUUAACCAAAGACAACUCUCAACAACGGAUAUCUUGGUCUCGCAACGAUGAAGAACGCAGCGAAAUGCGAUACGUAGUGUGAAUUGCAGAAUUCCGUGAACCAUCGAAUCUUUGAACGCAUAUUGCGCUCAAGCCCUCGGGCAAGAGCAUGUCUGCCUCAGCGUCGGUUUACACCCUCACCCCUCCCAACUUGUUGGGUGUGCUUGCUUUAUUGGCAAGCCGUUGGGGUGGAUCUGGCUUCCCCAAUCAGCCAUCAGGCAGAUUGGGUUGGCUGAAGUGCAGAGGCUUAAGCAAGGACCCGAUAUGGGCUUCAACUGGAUAGGUAGCACCGGCUUCUGCCGACUACACGAAGUUGUUGCUUGUGGCUCUUGCUAGAGGCCAAGCAGGAACGUGCCUUUGGCAUGUCUAAACUUUCGACCUGAGCUCAGGCAAGAUUACCCGCUGAACUUAAGCAUAUCAAUAAGCGGAG
rnacentral:rRNA from 1 species